ensembl:lncRNA
AUGGACAGUGAGGUGGAUAGUGUGCUGCACAAGCUCCUUUGGCCCAGGCCUUGGCCAAACAGUGAAGAUCUCACAAUUCAGUCUGCUGUGGCCCGUCUAGAUGAUCUAGAGUCACGGCUGGGUUUCACCUGGAACUCCUUCCAUUCCUUCAGAAGGUUCAUGUGCCUUAGGUACUUCUCUGUAGGCAAAGAGAAUGAAAGGGAGCCAUUUAUCCCAGUCACAACCAGUGUCUGCGACAAACUUCCGCAGCAUGCUUUUCACCAUCUGGUUGAACCGUUCUACAAGCUCAACUGUCUGUGGGUGAUAUGGACUGGUCUUUGUUGCUGUGUUGCCCAGCUGCCGAAAAUAUAUGAAAAAUAUAAUGGGACUCUGAACUAAAACCCUAAUUUGCUUGUGCAUUUAUUUUGUUUAUUUAUUUAUUUUUGAGGUUGUUGUAAAGAGUGUAAAGUUAUUUUGGUUUUCAGGGCUUAUCUGGGUUUAUUUAACCCAGUUAAAUAAGUGCAAAUAGCCCGCCUUGUAGGCUGAAGGCUGACAGCAUGUCCCUCCAUCCUCCCAGGUUUCGGCACCAAUGUAACACAGUUCAUAGUUCGGGAAGAAAGAGGCGGGAACCGGCAAAUAUUCAAACAAAAACUUUACAAAUAAAAUAAACACAAAGUAGCGCGACAGCCCCAUAAAGACGACUGUCAUGCACAAACAGAAACAAAACACAAAAUAAAACCCAGGCCUGGUCCUCUCUCUGGUCCUUCACUGUCGUUACUCCUCCUCUUAUCCUUCCAGAGCUCCUCCGUGGGACUCGAAACCGGUGAGUGGUGCAGGUGUUGUGCAUUUUCAAUUACUCCACCGGCCUCGCUCUGUUCCCACGGCUAUCGGCCCCGCCCCACUCGUCACAGCCUAUCACUAAAAAUGCUGCUAUUUUCACUUAGUGCAAAUAGCCGCUGCCUUUAUUUAAAUUUACUUAAAGAACCAGAGUGUAACUAUUGUUUGUACCCAGUGUAAAAUAGAUUUAUGAAGGGAAAUGAGAGUGGAAUAUUAAAAUUCCAAUAAAAAAUACACAUUUUUGACUAAAUGUAUUAUGUAUGCAUGAACAAAAAUGUGUUAAUCCAGUGUGUAAAGAAAGAAAGAAAGAAAGAAAGAAAGAAAGAAAGAAAGAAAGAAAAAGUUCUUUCAUCAUUUACACCAUGUCCUGCUUAUAAUGUGGACACUUGCCAGCAUGUUUGCAGAGCAAAAUUCGACUGGAUAGAUAAAAGUAAGUUAAUUUUACAGGCAAUCUACAGGCAAAUUGCAGAUUAUUUUCAUUUGAAUGAAUUUGGAUGAAACACAGACAUUAAUUACUGUACUGCAAUAUUAUGUGCAGCAUAAUUCUACUAAUGAUGUAUACAAGUCUAAUAAUCGCUUGUGUCUGUUGUUUUGGCUUAAUGUUAAUAUUUACUUCUGUUAGUAAUAUUUACUUCUGUGACUUCUGUUUGAUACUCAUAAAUUUCAGAAUGGCUAAGCAUUUUGCAGCUCUAGAGCAAAUCACAUGACAUCAUAUUUAAUUAUAGUGACUAUUAGCAGCGUUAUCAACAGUUAUAAUAUGAAGGACAGACAGAGAAGGAUGUUCUCUAAUAACGGCUGAAUUAAAAAGGGGGCAGUUGAGAAAUGGUUAGAAUGGACAUAAAAAGAUAAGAAAGCUGGCAAAAAGUCCAGAUUAAUUUUCUUCUUGCAUUGUUCAUUGCGGUUUAUAAUGAUGCAAAAUCACAAAAUAAACACUUUGGAGCAUUAUUUAGUGUGAGAGACUCAUAUGAGAAAAACAGUUUAUAAAAGAGCAUAAAGCAAUAAAAAUGAAUGUGGUGCAGCUCAAAUUGUUUGACUGGAUGAAUUUGGUGAGAAGUCUUUGAGUUAGAGAUCUGACAUUUGAUUGCAGACCCAUAAGAUUCACAGGAUGGGAAUUUAACCAAAGCUGUGUAUCUGACUUUUUUCAAUGCCAGGGCAACACAAACAGCUUGCCAGUGGGCAUGUCUGGCCCCGGCCCCAGCAAUGGCUCUAAUAACGGAAAUGCAUUGGCUUCCAUAAGAGGACAUUCAUUUUCAUUAAUGACUAUCUCUUACAUCAGCUCAGUAAGUCACCCUCACCUCCAUAACAAGUUGUGUAAAACAUGAAGAGGGGAAAAAAAAGAGAAGCCGAUUCCUCCAUGUGUGAUAUCAACCCCCAUUCACACAUUUGCCAUUUCCUACCUCUCCUCCAUAUUUAUCUUAAUCAUAAAACAGGAAGUUUAAUUGCAUUUUUGGGUCAUCCAGAUGGUACCUUUGUGAGGAGAUUAAUUACUCCAUUGGGCAACAUUAAUAAAACAAAUAUUUGCAGGGAAAUGUAAUUGUGUAUCCCGGCAUGGACCGUGUAAAAAGGUGAGACGUGUGGAGUCAUGCUGAAUUCCCUGCAGUGGUGAAACAGGGAGGGAAAGAAUGGACAGAGAGACAAAUGAGCAGUCGUGCACUUGUCAGUGUGCAGAGCAGCGCUACCUAGCAUACUAAAUGAGGAGCCAGCCUUUCUGUUUCUCAUGUGCUAUUUUCAUCGAUAUACACUCACACGUGUCUUAAUGUGACGUGUCAGAGUGAAUAUGAAGACACAGCAUUUGUUGUGAGGUAGGAAGGUCACCAUGUGGCUAUAGCUAUAAAACCCACUAUAUAACGUGGCAGAGACAAUAAAACAUUUGACAUUUCUUAUGCAAACAAGUCUUUUCAGCUAUGGGAACUUUUGCUUGGACAGGUCUGGGGAACAUUAUUAUGGAGUUUUGUUUUUCUUUGUGAAGAGAGCUGGGUAGAUUGCUUAGAAAUGUUACUGAUUACAGAUUACAUGAUUAUAAUGUAGCAUAAUCUAGGUUACUCAUUUUAAGUAAUGUACUCUUGACUACCUUUUAGAUUACUUUUAGAUUACUUUGUCAAACUUGUUUUAAACUUACCAUAAAUGUACCACAUCGAUAGAAAAAAUAAAUAAAAAAAAAACAUCAAG